UCCAUCGUUUCUAAUAGAUCGGCCCGGU
rnacentral:sRNA from 1 species